GUCUACAUAGGUGGCACCGGCUGCACCCGGCAGUAGAACCGCGACGCAGAUUGCACUCCAUGGGCGGCUAGCUGCGUCACUGCUAGUUUCGCCAGCCAGCCCACCCCCUGGGCUGCGCUUGCUGCAGCGGCGGCCAAUGAAACCCCAGGCACCAUCGAACCGGCAGAAAGUGCAUCUGCCUGUCUGGAAGAUCAUUGAUGAAGCUGAAGAUGGAUGGGCAUUGAAGACUAUCCUUGUUCUGACCAGAUCCCAGAAGAAUUCCUAAUUUGUUAUGAUCAGACCACCGGUGACGUUCCCUAAAUUAUCAUUGUUCUAGGAUUCCUAGUGUGUCGAGCAAGAUGAAGGAAACAUUUAAAAUAACUGCAUAUGCUAAAAUUGGAUGCAGAAUGUUGGAACCAAUCAGCUGUAAGAUGGCUGCACUGGCACACUGCAGGUGAUGUUAAAGUGCUUCACUGAUGUCUACUAUAAUUGAGAGGAGGCUCCUAAGUAUAUUGAUGGACUUGGGUCCCAGAUGUGACUGCAUCUGUCACAUGCUGCAACAUGUCACUGGUAGCUGCCAGUAGCGAAGGCCAAAGUAAAUCUGUGACACGGAUGUGCUGAAAUGAAUCACUUUUCACAGAGGAUGGAAUCCGAUGGCUGGUGAUCAUAAAGGAAAGCCUAAACAGCAUCCCUCAUCUAAUGCUGCUCCUCAAGUUGUACACCUGGUUCAGUUUCUAUUCCCACAUAUCUCACCUUCUCAUUGGAUUCA